CCUACGGGUGGCUGCAGUGGGGAAUAUUGGACAAUGGGGGCAACCCUGAUCCAGCCAUGCCGCGUGUGUGAAGAAGGCCCUCGGGUUGUAAAGCACUUUCAGUGAGGAAGAACGCCUGGUGGUUAAUACCCAUCAGGAAAGACAUCACUCACAGAAGAAGCACCGGCUAACUCCGUGCCAGCAGCCGCGGUAAUACGGAGGGUGCGAGCGUUAAUCGGAAUUACAGGGCGUAAAGCGCGCGUAGGUGGCUUGAUAAGCCGGUUGUGAAAGCCCCGGGCUCAACCUGGGAACGGCAUCCGGAACUGUCAAGCUAGAGUGCAGGAGAGGAAGGUAGAAUUCCCGGUGUAGCGGUGAAAUGCGUAGAGAUCGGGAGGAAUACCAGUGGCGAAGGCGGCCUUCUGGACUGACACUGACACUGAGGUGCGAAAGCGUGGGUAGCAAACAGGAUUAGAUACCCUUGUAGUC
rnacentral:rRNA from 1 species